GUAGGUGGCAAGCGUUGUCCGGAAUUAUUGGGCGUAAAGCGCGCGCAGGCGGGUUCUUUAAGUCUGAUGUGAAAGCCCACGGGCUCAACCGUGGAGGGUCAUUGGAAACUGGAGAACUUGAGUACAGAAGAGGAAAGCGGAAUUCCACGUGUAGCGGUGAAAUACGUAGAGAUGUGGAGGAACACCAGUGGCGAAGGCGGCUUUCUGGUCUGUAACUGACGCUGAGGCGCGAAAGCGUGGGGAGCAAACAGGAUUAGAUACCCUGGUAGUCCACGCCGUAAACGAUGAGUGCUAAGUGUUAGGGGGUUUCCGCCCCUUAGUGCUGCAGCUAACGCAUUAAGCACUCCGCCUGGGGAGUACGGCCGCAAGGCUG
rnacentral:rRNA from 1 species